GUUCCCAUCGUCUAGUGGUCAGGACAUUUGGUUUUCAACUAAAAAACAGGGGUUCAAUUCUCCUUGGGAGCA
rnacentral:tRNA from 2 species